CACUCUGGUAGCCUGGUGGUUAGACCGUCUGCCUCGGAUGCGGGAGGUCAUGGGUUUGAUCCCCAGUCGAGUCA